UACGGAGGGAGCUAGCGUUGUUCGGAAUUACUGGGCGUAAAGCGCACGUAGGCGGCGAUCCAAGUCAGGGGUGAAAUCCCGGGGCUCAACCCCGGAACUGCCCUUGAAACUAGGUUGCUAGAAUCCUGGAGAGGCGAGUGGAAUUCCGAGUGUAGAGGUGAAAUUCGUAGAUAUUCGGAAGAACACCAGUGGCGAAGGCGACUCGCUGGACAGGUAUUGACGCUGAGGUGCGAAAGCGUGGGGAGCAAACAGG
rnacentral:rRNA from 1 species